CUAGAGGAUUUAGAUGUGGUCAGAUGGAGUUGGGGCAUGAAAUUAUAUUGCGGAAUUGAAGGGCAAAAGUUAAGAGAAACUUAGAGUUGUUCUUUAUGGAUGGCUAUAUCAGUGUGAACUAUUAUGUUCAGCCUUUAGAUUCAGUUAUGUGCCCUACACUUCUUCUGAAACUGGUUUUGAUUCCGUUUUUGUUGUAUGUGUGCAGUUUUCAGAAUGGAGACUCACGCACCGCUUAUGACCGAUCAACUAGACUCUACUUAUUAUGGAUUUUC
rnacentral:lncRNA from 1 species